rnacentral:lncRNA from 1 species
GAGGGAAAGAAACAAAGAAUAAUGAAAUGUAUGAGAGAGCAGAUAAGGUGAGUUUUGGUGUGAAUUUUUUGACUCCUAAAGACAAAAGUCUGGACACUGAGAAUAAAGAAAGAUAUGCUUUCCUGGAGGAAAAGGAAUAUUUCAUCCAGGCUCUGUCAUUAGUCUUCAUACUGACAGGAAGAAAGAUCCACUUCUGAGGCUUCCAACGAAAAAGUCCGUGUGCGUUUCUGUGUAUGUGAUUGUGGUUAGAUGACAAAGCAAAUAAAUUUACGAUGCCCCAAACUGCUAACAUGUUCAAAUUACUUCUUUCUUUUAUCUCUUAGCUCUCUUCUAUCUUCCUGAAGACAUGAACACCUCUGUAUUCGUUCCAUGUUUUUAAAUCAAAGCGCCUUCCAGAAUCUUAUCUGAAUUGCUAGGAGGCAGAAAAAAACAAAAGACUUUCCUCAGGUGGCUCCAUUUAGUUUCCAAUUUUUUGUUGCUUCCUCUAAUCUAACAAUCUUAUUGAAUAUGUUAUCCUUCUUCCAAC